ensembl:miRNA mir-8212 ncRNA
UUGCUCAAAAAUUACUUCAAAGUCGAUCGGCUCAUUGCGACUUCGAGACAGUUUUUGAGCAACU